rnacentral:lncRNA from 1 species
AUCCAGGGCUCAGCUGAGACUGGGGGCCUCACCACAGCCCCACUCAGAUGCCUGGUGGUUGGAUGGGCUGCCAGCUGAGGCACCUCCGUUCUCCAACUCAUGGCCUUUCCAGCAGGACAGCCUGGACUUCUCCAUAUGAGAAUUGGGUGUCAAGAAGGUGGCAAAGGGAACCUCCAAGGAGGAACCCCUCUGGAGCAGAGUCUCAAAGCAGAGGGAUUGAGGAGAUACCGAGGGGAGCAUGCAACACCUGGUACGCGAGUCAAGAGGAGACAUGUUGAGAUGCAGCUAGGUCUCCUGGCAGAGGAGCGACUUGGUUCUGGUCUGGAUCCUCUGAGGGCAUAAAGCUGUACCUCAGCAAGUCUGCAGAUGAACAGUGAUAAAGACAAAUCAUUAGAAUGCAGAGCGCCUGCCCAGAGUAAAUUAUUGUUGGAUAAAAGCUCAGAAACAACUUGACAAAAUUUGUGACAGUGUGAGUGUUCUUGUUAGUUGAUCAAACUCAGCCAGGUCUUCAAGGAUAUGGUGUACCUGCAAAAUCAUACUGAGAGGCACUCAGAAAGAAGCUAAUCUGCCUAGAAAAGGCUAAGGGAUAGUUUAAGCUUACCUAACCUAAAAGGCUUGGUGAAGUUUAAUUCACACUGGGAAUGUAAGAGAAGUAAGUGUCUUAAGGCGACCAUCCAACAUAGCUGGACCUCCUGAUUCUCUUCAACCCUCUUGCAUGCCUUUCUGCCAAAUAAAACAUUUCAUGG